rnacentral:rRNA from 1 species
CCUACGGGAGGCAGCAGUGAGGAAUAUUGGUCAAUGGCCGUAAGUCUGAACCUGCCAAGUAGCGUGAAGGAUGACUGCCCUAUGGGUUGUAAACUUCUUUUAUAAAGGAAUAAAACGAGGCACGUGUGCCUUUUUGCAUGUACUUUAUGAAUAAGCAUCGGCUAACUCCGUGCCAGCAGCCGCGGUAAUACGGAGGAUCCGAGCGUUAUCCGGAUUUAUUGGGUUUAAAGGGAGCGUAGAUGGUUUUUUAAGUCAGUUGUGAAAGUUUGCGGCUCAACCGUAAAAUUGCAGUUGAUACUGGCAGUCUUGAGUAUAUUUGAGGUAGGCGGAAUGCGUGGUGUAGCGGUGAAAUGCUUAGAUAUCACGAAGAACCCCGAUUGCGAAGGCAGCUUACUAAACUGUGACUGACACUGAUGCACGAAAGUGUGGGUAUCAAACAGGAUUAGAUACCCUAGUAGUC